rnacentral:sRNA from 1 species
AAAUAGCCCCGAUGGAAGCGGCAUCCUCUUGUGGAGCUUGCGGAACAAGAGAUACAGCGUACAGCGGGACGAGGC